rnacentral:tRNA from 1 species
GGGCGAGUAGCUCAGCUGGUUAGAGCGCCUGCCUUACAAGCAGGAUGUCGGGGGUUCGAAUCCCUCCUUGCCCA